UACGUAGGGGGCAAGCGUUGUCCGGAAUCAUUGGGCGUAAAGCGCGUGUAGGCGGCUCGAUAAGUCUGCUGUGAAAGUUCAGGGCUCAACCCUGAAAUGCCGGUGGAAACUGUCGGGCUAGAGUCCGGAAGAGGCGAGUGGAAUUCCUGGUGUAGCGGUGAAAUGCGCAGAUAUCAGGAGGAACACCAAUGGCGAAGGCAGCUCGCUGGGACGGCACUGACGCUGAGACGCGAAAGCGUGGGGAGCAAACAGG
rnacentral:rRNA from 1 species